AGAAAUACCAUCAGUCCUUCACCAAGGGGUGGCGUUUGAAGGUGUAAAAAUACCUAAACAAAGAAAGGAAUGGCUGAACUUCGACUACGUGGCAAAGGGAGAGGAACCCUAUCAAAAACCUAAAGGAAUUCGAUGCAAUCGAAGCUAAAGAAAUGUCUAAAAAAAUGGAAAAGGGCGAUGACGAAGGGCGGAAGCGAAAGCCAGAGUUCGAUGCGGAAGGCCUCCUGAUACAGGCAGAAAUGGCCAGGUGGGGGGGUGCUAGCCCGGUCAGUGG
rnacentral:lncRNA from 1 species